rnacentral:rRNA from 1 species
UACGUAGGGGGCAAGCGUUGUUCGGAAUUACUGGGCGUAAAGGGCGCGUAGGCGGCCUGCUAAGUCGAACGUGAAAUCCCCGGGCUCAACCCGGGAACUGCGUCCGAUACUGACAGGCUUGAAUCCGGGAGAGGGAUGCGGAAUUCCAGGUGUAGCGGUGAAAUGCGUAGAUAUCUGGAGGAACACCGGUGGCGAAGGCGGCAUCCUGGACCGGCAUUGACGCUGAGGCGCGAAAGCCAGGGGAGCAAACGGGAUUAGAUACCCGGGUAGU